rnacentral:rRNA from 1 species
UGGGGAAUAUUGCACAAUGGAGGGAACUCUGAUGCAGCGACGCCGCGUGAGUGAUGAAGGAAUUCGUUUCGUAAAACUCUGUUCUAUGGGAAGAAAAGGACUGUACCAUAGGAGAAAGCUCCGGCUAAAUACGUGCCAGCAGCCGCGGUAAUACGUAUGGAGCGAGCGUUGUCCGGAAUUAUUGGGCGUAAAGGGUGCGCAGGCGGCUUUACAAGUUGGAUGUGAAAUAUUGUGGCUCAACCACAAACGUGCAUCCAAAACUGCAAAGCUUGAGUUAAGGAGGGGUAAGUGGAAUUCCUGGUGUAGCGGUGGAAUGCGUAGAUAUCAGGAGGAAUACCGGUGGCGAAGGCGACUUACUGGACUUAAACUGACGCUGAGGCACGAAAGCGUGGGGAGCAAACAGG